UGGAAGGGUCUCAUCCUGUUUUCCAGCUCCAUUCCAGGCAGCAUCCUCACGAUCCAAAGAACGGCAUAAGGGGCCCCUGUUUCCUGAGACCCAGUCAGAGCUCCUAUACUCUCCCACCUUGUUCCUCUGAGCUGACAAAUGACAUCGGAGAGGGCUCUAGGUUGGAAGGAAGACAAGGCAUUGCACUCACGUGAGGAGGAUUCAGUCUUGGUCCCUAGGGCGAUGGUGAUGAGGAGGAAGAAGGGAAUGGCAGCCACGGAGAUCUUCAUGCUGUGGGAAGCUGUUGUGGGAGGAGAGCUGGCCUGGUGGGAGCUUCAGAGGCUCCUGCGGUCCAGAAAGCAUUUCUGCAAGUUGGAAUAGGAAGUUAGAAGGUCCUUGAAGACUGUCUCGAAGAAUGAAGUAGUUACCAUGAAACCGAUGGUGUAAAUAUGCAAGUGCAAAUGUGGAAUGAUAAGGAAACAAAAAGUAUUUCUCUUUGGGUUAAUAGAAAAAUAUCAAAAGGAAAUUAUGAGAAAAAUAAGAAUUGUUAUGGGAUUAUAAUGGAUCAAAUGUUAAGUAAAGUAGAAAAUGGUGUGAACUGGGUAAAUGAUGGAGUAAAAGAAACUUUCUUGAAA
rnacentral:lncRNA from 1 species